rnacentral:rRNA from 1 species
AUUGAACGCUGGCGGCAUGCUUUACACAUGCAAGUCGAACGGAAACAGGUUAAGCUGACGAGUGGCGAACGGGUGAGUAAUGCAUCGGAACGUGCCCGGUCGUGGGGGAUAACGCAGCGAAAGCUGCGCUAUACCGCAUACGAUCUAAGGAUGAAAGCGGGGGACCGUAAGGCCUCGCGCGAUCGGAGCGGCCGCUGUCAGAUUAGGUAGUUGGUGGGGUAAAGGCUCACCAAGCCAACGAUCUGUAGCGGGUCUGAGAGGACGACCAGCCACAGUGGGACAGAGAGACGGCACAGACUCCGACGGGACGGAGGAGUGGGGAAUUGUGGACAAUGGGCGAAAGCCUGAUUCAGCGAUGCCGCGUGCAGGAAGAAGGCCUUCGGAUUGUAAACUGCUGUUGUACGAAGCGAAAAGGUCUCAUCUAAUACAGGGGGUUCAUGACGGUACCGCAAGAAUAAGCACCGGCUAACUACGUGCCAGCAGCCGCCGUAA